rnacentral:rRNA from 1 species
AGCCGGUGGAGUAACCUUUUAGGAGCUAGCCGUCGAAGGUGGGACAAAUGAUUGGGGUGAAGUCGUAACAAGGUAGCCGUAUCGGAAGGUGCGGCUGGAUCACCUCCUUU